GAUUUUUUAGUAUAUUUUAGUAUGUUUAAUUUCCAAUUAAAAGGUUGAAAGAAUCG
rnacentral:tRNA from 1 species